rnacentral:rRNA from 1 species
UACAGAGGGGGCAAGCGUUGUUCGGAAUUACUGGGCGUAAAGGGCGCGUAGGCGGCCUGCUAAGUCGAACGUGAAAUCCCCGGGCUCAACCCGGGAACUGCGUCCGAUACUGGCAGGCUUGAAUUCGGGAGAGGGAUGCGGAAUUCCAGGUGUAGCGGUGAAAUGCGUAGAUAUCUGGAGGAACACCGGUGGCGAAGGCGGCAUCCUGGACCGAAAUUGACGCUGAGGCGCGAAAGCCAGGGGAGCAAACGGG